CAAAAUUUGAGAGAAAUAAACUUUUUGUGAAUAUGGAACAUUUCUGUUUUAUUUCAGCUCAUGAAACAUGGGACCAACACUUUACAUGGUGUAUUUAUAUUUUUGUUCAAUAUCAAACAAACAUGCCUCUCUGACAUGUAAAAUACUGAAAUCACAGCAGCUCUAUUCAUAGAAUUUUUAUCUAGAAUGUUCCAAAACCUUUUCCUACUGAACAUGGCCCUGGUUUUAAAAAUGGCAGUUAUUGGCAACACCAUGGCAACAACACAACCACAACCAACUCUGAUUGGCCAGUCAAAAGACACAACCAACUCUGAUUGGCCAGUCAAAAGACACAACCAACUCUGAUUGGCCAGUCAAAAGACACAACAAACUCUGAUUGGCCAGUCAAAAGACACAACAAACUCUGAUUGGCCAGUUAAGCCAGACAGAGGUACUGUAUGUAGUAAAAAAACAACUUUAAAAAGCAGGAAUAAUAAACAAUAAUAAAACAAUGCAAUACUGUGAGAUCAUGGCACAGAUAUAGACAGACUGACCGGCAGAUAUAUGACCAUAGAAAUAGACACAGGCAGGGUAUAGAUAAUACUGGUGUGGUACUUUAAAAAUACCGCAGCGUUGUUGGAGCAACACUACGUAGUUGUGUGUUCGUAUCCAUGGUUACCAUAGGUAGAGCCCAGCCUCGUUCCAGACACAGCGGAGAUAACGUCAGAGCAGGUCCACUGACUACAUCUCCCAGAGGGCUUUUUCCAAAAUAAAAGUCCCCGUGAUAUCUGCACCGGUUGUUCACGAGUAUUGAGUGAACCUCGUGUCAUGUAAGCUACAACAGUACUGUGUGUCUCUGCGUGAUGGUGGACAAGGUUCAGUUUCAAACUGUCACUUCUAGAGAUAUGGGUUUAACAGAUCCCAAGGUCCUGUUUCAAACUGUCACUUCUAGAGAUAUGGGUUUAACAGAUCCCAAGGUCCUGUUUCAAACUGUCACUUCUAGAGAUAUGGGUUUAACAGAUCCCAAGGUCCUGUUUCAAACUGUCACUUCUAGAGAUAUGGGUUUAACAGAUCCCAAGGUUCCGUUGUUUCCAUAUUGGUCAGUGCGUGACCUGAACUCUUAUUGUGAAACACUUUGUUCCAGAUGCAUUUCCUGGGCUCCAUGUAACAGUUCCAUGACACAGAAUAGCCCACCAGGUAACCAACCAGCCAAGUCCAUAUCUCAGAAAGGUAUAGCCACACCUUUUACUCCAUACUGUAGUUACAGCUCCAUAAUCCAUACAGGGCAGAGGACCAUAAACCAUAGCCAGUCUAUUCCCCAUGUAGGUACGAGGUGAGCCAUGUAAUCCCAUCCCAGGUAGGUCCAUCCCAGAUCAGUUUAUCCAGGUAGGUCCAUCCCAGGUAGCCAUAGACAGGUAGGUCCAUCUCGGGUAGCCAUAGACAGGUAUGUCCAUCCCAGGUAGCCAUAGACAGGUAUGUCCAUCUCGGGUAGGUCCAUCCCAGGUAGGUCCAUCCCAGGUAGCCAUAGACAGGUAUGUCCAUCCCAGGUAGCCAUAGACAGGUAUGUCCAUCUCGGGUAGCCACAGACAGGUAGGUCCAUCCCAGGUAGCCAUAGACAGGUAUGUCCAUCUCGGGUAGCCAUAGACAGGUAUGUCCAUCUCGGGUAGGUCCAUCCCAGGUAUGUCCAUCCCAGGUAGCCAUAGACAGGUAUGUCCAUCCCAGGUAGCCAUAGAUAGGUAGGUCCAUCCCAGGUAGCCACAGACAGGUAGGUCCAUCCCAGGUAGCCAUAGACAGGUAUGUCCAUCUCGGGUAGGUCCAUCCCAGGUAGGUCCAUCCCAGGUAGCCACAGACAGGUAGGUCCAUCCCAGGUAGCCAUAGACAGGUAUGUCCAUCCCAGGUAGCCAUAGACAGGUAUGUCCAUACAUGCAGCCAUAGACAGGUAGGUCCAUCCCAGGUAGCCAUAGACAGGUAUGUCCAUACAUGCAGCCAUAGUCCAAGUAAAUCUUAGCCUGCAGGUAUGUCUCCGUCCUCUGUCCCAGGUUAGAUUUGUCCCAGGGCCAGGCUAAACCAGACUUAACCCCGGUACAGUCAUGGUUCUGGCACCAGUGUGGCCCCAGUUAGGCCCUGUGGUCUCAGGACUGGUUGUCCCCAGUAGGGGUUGGUGGUUCGAGUGACAGUUCUUCGUCAGACAGCCCCGUUUCCACAGCGAUCACCAGGGAUGCCACAGACGCACUGCUGGUCAUGGGCUGGAACUCACCUAGAGAGAGAGAGACAGGGGGAGGAGGAGACAAAAGAAGGAUGAGAGAGACCGAGAGAGGGAGAGAGAAAGAGGGAUGAGAGAGAGAAAGAAGAGGGGGGAGGGAGAGAAAGAAAGAGGGAGAGGUGAGGAUGCAAUUCAUUAAAGCUGCCACCAGGUGGCACUAUGAGUGCUGUUUGUGUGUGUGCGUAUGUGUGCGUGUGUGUGCGUGGUGUGACUGUGGGCUGCGUGGUGUGACUGUGCGUGUCGCUAGCCUCGCCCGCCGCCCGGCGCUAGCCUCGCCCGCCGCCCGGCGCUAGCCUCGCCCGCCGCCCGGCGCUAGCCUCGCCCGCCGCUAGUCUCGCCCGCCGCUAGUCUCGCCCGCCGCCUGUCGCUAGUCUCGCCCGCCGCCUGUCGCUAGUCUCGCCCGCCGCCUGUCGCUAGUCUCGCCCGCCGCCUGUCGCUAGUCUCGCCCGCCGCCUGUCGCUAGUCUCGCCC
ensembl:lncRNA